rnacentral:rRNA from 1 species
AAACAUCUAAGUACCCCGAGGAAAAGAAAUCAACCGAGAUUCCCCCAGUAGCGGCGAGCGAACGGGGAGCAGCCCAGAGUCUGAAUCAGCUUGUGUGUUAGUGGAACGGUCUGGAAAGUCCGACGGUACAGGGUGAUAGUCCCGUACACCAAAAUGCACAGGCUGUGAACUCGAAGAGUAGGGCGGGACACGUGGUAUCCUGUCUGAAUAUGGGGGGACCAUCCUCCAAGGCUAAAUACUCCUGACUGACCGAUAGUGAACCAGUACCGUGAGGGAAAGGCGAAAAGAACCCCGGCGAGGGGAGUGAAAAAGAACCUGAAACCGU